rnacentral:misc_RNA from 1 species
GUAGGUGAACCUGCGGAAGGAUCAUUAUUGAAUAUAAUAUGCUUGGGUAAGGUUGUAGCUGGUCCUCCCUUGGGCAAAUGUGCACGCCUUUAACCACAAGUGUAAUAUCAUGCUUUCCUCCUGUGCACAUUUUGUAGACCUAGAUUUUAUCUUGGACUACGAUUUUAUUAUACUCCUAAGUAAUAGAAUGUGUAUUUAUUGAGGGCCUUUUAUAUACCAAAGGGCUUAUUCAAUAUAUUAUAAUACAACU